rnacentral:lncRNA from 1 species
AAGAAAAGAGGAAGGUAGGAUGCUGAGUUCGGAUUGAAGAAGAGAGGGGUUUGUAAUUUAUUUAAAGCGUAAGCUAUUUAUGAAUAAAAAUUGAUUAAGAAAAUUAUGUUUGGAAAUAAUAUGCUUGACACAAGUAGAGGUCGUAGAAUGUUUAAUGUAUUAUAAGCAAUUCAAAAAAUAUAGUAUAUUUAGAAUAAAAAUUUAUUAAGAAAAAUAAUGUUUCGCAAUAAUAUGUUAGGCAUAAAUAAAAGGCCGUAGUAU